UACGUAGGGGGCAAGCGUUGUCCGGAUUUACUGGGUGUAAAGAGCGUGUAGGCGGCCAAGCAGGUCCGUUGUGAAACUGGAGGCUUAACCUCCAGACGUCGACGGAAACCGCGUGGCUAGAGUCCGGAAGAGGAGAGUGGAAAUUCCUGGUGUAGCGGUGAAAUGCGCAGAUAUCAAGAGGAACACCUGCGGCGAAGGCGGGUUGCUGGGCCGACACUGACGCUGAGGCGCGAAAGCUAGGGGGAGCGAACGGG
rnacentral:rRNA from 1 species